UACGUAACAAAUAAUUUUUAAGAUGCUA
rnacentral:sRNA from 1 species